rnacentral:rRNA from 1 species
GUGUCAGCAGCCGCGGUAAGACGAACCGUGCGAACGUUGUUCGGAAUCACUGGGCUUAAAGGGCGCGUAGGCGGGUUGUCAAGUCCGGGGUGAAAGCCCCCAGCUCAACUGGGGAAGUGCCUUGGAUACUGGGAACCUCGAGGGAGGUAGGGGCGUGCGGAACUUCCGGUGGAGCGGUGAAAUGCGUAGAUAUCGGAAGGAACACCGGUGGCGAAAGCGGCGCGCUGGACCUCUUCUGACGCUGAGGCGCGAAAGCCAGGGGAGCAAACGGGAUUAGAUACCCCUGUAGUCC